UACGUAGGGGCCGAGCGUUGUCCGGAGUUAUUGGGCGUAAAGCGCGCGCAGGCGGCUUCGCGCGCCCGCCGUGAAAGCCCCCGGCUUAACCGGGGAGAGUCGGUGGGGACGGCGGAGCUUGAGGGCGGGAGAGGUCGGUGGAAUUCCCGGUGUAGUGGUGAAAUGCGUAGAGAUCGGGAGGAACACCUGUGGCGAAGGCGGCCGACUGGGCCGACCCGUGACGC
rnacentral:rRNA from 1 species